GUGCUUGCUUCGGCAGCACAUAUACUAAAAUUGGAACGAUACAGAGAUUAGUAUGGCCCCUGCGCAAAGAUGACAAGCAAAUUCGUGAAGCCUUCCAUAUUAAA
rnacentral:snRNA from 1 species